rnacentral:rRNA from 2 species
UGGGGAAUAUUGCACAAUGGGCGCAAGCCUGAUGCAGCCAUGCCGCGUGUAUGAAGAAGGCCUUCGGGUUGUAAAGUACUUUCAGCGGGGAGGAAGGGAGUAAAGUUAAUACCUUUGCUCAUUGACGUUACCCGCAGAAGAAGCACCGGCUAACUCCGUGCCAGCAGCCGCGGUAAUACGGAGGGUGCAAGCGUUAAUCGGAAUUACUGGGCGUAAAGCGCACGCAGGCGGUUUGUUAAGUCAGAUGUGAAAUCCCCGGGCUCAACCUGGGAACUGCAUCUGAUACUGGCAAGCUUGAGUCUCGUAGAGGGGGGUAGAAUUCCAGGUGUAGCGGUGAAAUGCGUAGAGGUCUGGAGGAAUACCGGUGGCGAAGGCGGCCCCCUGGACGAAGACUGACGCUCAGGUGCGAAAGCGUGGGGAGCAAACAGG